rnacentral:rRNA from 1 species
AGGACGAACGCUGGCGGCGUGCUUAACACAUGCAAGUCACGGGGGCCCGCAAGGGCAACCGGCGAACGGGUGCGUAACACGUGAGCAACCUGCCUUUGUGUGGGGGAUAGCCGGGCUAACGCCCGGGUAAUACCGCAUACGGUUCUCGAGGGGAGUCCCUUGGGAAAGAAACCUCCGGGGCACAGAGAGGGGCUCGCGGCCUAUCAGCUAGUUGGCGGGUAAUGGCCCACCAAGGCGACGACGGGUAGCU